CUCAGACACACCAACAAUAUGAAGCUCUCAGAAAAGAGGGGGAUUAGGAUAGAAAAGAUGUACAGAGAGAUUUGGGGCCAAAAUAGGGACUGUCCUUACUUAAUAGAGACACUUGGGAGGUAUGGUAUUAUAAACCCUAUUAUUUGAAAUACAGAUGUGUGUUACUAGCACAUCUAAGUAGAGUGCCUAAAUACGAUUACAUAUUGUUU